rnacentral:rRNA from 1 species
AUGUCGCGACUAGCGAAGUUGAACUUAAUCCCUAGUUUCACUACUGUCAAGGGAUCUAAGUGUCAAGUGUGUGUGCAAGCUAAGCAACCUCGUAAGUCUCACACGACUGCGGAAAUGAGAAAUCUUGCACCACUAGAGCUCAUACAUUCAGAUCUAUGUGAAAUGAAUGGUGUUUUGACAAAAGGUGGAAAGAAAUAUUUCAUGACGUUAAUUGAUGACUCCACUAGAUACUGGCGUGUGUAUCUUCUGAAAUCUAAGGAUGAGGCUUUGAAAUUUUUCAAGAUCUAUAAAGCUGAAGUGGAAAACCAACUUGAUCGAAAAAUCCAGAGGCUUAGGUCUGACCGUGGUGGAGAGUAUUUUUCCAAUGAAUUUUAUGCUUUUUGUGUGGAACAUGGUAUAAUCCAUGAGAGGACGCCUCCCUAUUCACCUUAG